UACGAAGGGGGCUAGCGUUGCUCGGAAUGACUGGGCGUAAAGGGCGCGUAGGCGGUUCGUAUAGUCAGGCGUGAAAUUCCCGGGCUUAACCUGGGGGCUGCGUUUGAUACGUACGGGCUUGAGUUCGGAAGAGGGGUCGUGGAAUUCCCCAGUGUAGAGGUGAAAUUCGUAGAUAUUGGGAAGAACACCGGUGGCGAAGGCGGCGACCUGGUC
rnacentral:rRNA from 1 species